CACGUAGGGGGCGAGCGUUGUCCGGAUUUAUUGGGCGUAAAGAGCUCGUAGGCGGUUCGCUAAGUCGGGUGUGAAACCUCCAGGCUCAACCUGGAGACGCCACCUGAUACUGGUGUGACUAGAGUCCGGUAGGGGAGUGUGGAACUCCUGGUGUAGCGGUGAAAUGCGCAGAGUAUCAGGAAGAACACCCGUGGCUAAGGCGGCUCUCUAGUACGGUACUGACGCUGAGACGCGAAAGCGUGGGGAGCGAACAGG
rnacentral:rRNA from 1 species